GCGCGAGUAGCUCAGUUGGUAGAGCCCCAGCUUCCCAAGCUGGCUGUCGCGGGUUCGAGCCCCGUCUCGCGCU
rnacentral:tRNA from 1 species